AUAAGUGCUGAAAGCAUCUAAGCACGAAACUUGCCCCGAGAUGAGUUCUCCCUGAGACUUUAAGUCUCCUGAAGGAACGUUGAAGACGACGACGUUGAUAGGCCGGGUGUGUAAGCGCAGCGAUGCGUUGAGCUAACCGGUACUAAUGAACCGUGAGGCUUAACCUU
rnacentral:rRNA from 1 species